CAACGCCGCGUGGAGGAGUGAAGCCCUUCGGGCGUAAACUCCUUUCGAUCGGGACGAUUAUGACGGUACCGGAAGAAGAAGCCCGGCUAACUUCGUGC
rnacentral:rRNA from 1 species